rnacentral:rRNA from 1 species
GAUGAACGCUGGCGGCGUGCCUAAUACAUGCAAGUCGAGCGAACAGAUAAGGAGCUUGCUCCUUUGACGUUAGCGGCGGACGGGUGAGUAACACGUGGGUAACCUACCUAUAAGACUGGGAUAACUUCGGGAAACCGGAGCUAAUACCGGAUAACAUUUGGAACCGCAUGGUUCUAAAGUGAAAGAUGGUUUUGCUAUCACUUAUAGAUGGACCCGCGCCGUAUUAGCUAGUUGGUAAGGUAACGGCUUACCAAGGCGACGAUACGUAGCCGACCUGAGAGGGUGAUCGGCCACACUGGAACUGAGACACGGUCCAGACUCCUACGGGAGGCAGCAGUAGGGAAUCUUCCGCAAUGGGCGAAAGCCUGACGGAGCAAAGCCGCGUGAGUGAUGAAGGGUUUCGGCUCGUAAAACUCUGUUAUUAGGGAAGAACAAAUGUGUAAGUAACUGUGCACGUCUUGACGGUACCUAAUCAGAAAGCCACGGCUAACUACGUG